rnacentral:rRNA from 1 species
UACGUAGGGUGCAAGCGUUAAUCGGAAUUACUGGGCGUAAAGCGUGCGUAGGCGGUCUGUCGCGUCUGCUGUGAAAACUCGGGGCUUAACCCCGGGCCUGCAGUGGGUACGGGCAGACUAGAGUGCGGUAGGGGAGACUGGAAUUCCUGGUGUAGCGGUGAAAUGCGCAGAUAUCAGGAGGAACACCGGUGGCGAAGGCGGGUCUCUGGGCCGUAACUGACGCUGAGGAGCGAAAGCAUGGGGAGCGAACAGG